UAUAUAUAUAUAUAUAUAUAUAUAUUUAAUUGUUAAUUAUUGAAUAAUAUUAUAAUUGAUAAAUUGAGAGAAUAAAAAGGAAUAGAAUAGAAAAAUUUUAACUAUCAGCUAUAAUGCAACCAGAUCAAUUCUAAGCAUUCACGUACUUUGAAACACACAAAAAAAAAAAAACCAAGAAGAAACAAAAGAGAAGAAAAACAAAAUGUUUAAAAAGUUUGACCACCUUAAUACGGCGUUUAAUUGAAAAUAUUAAUUAUGGUCACCUUCAGAAUCUUCAAAACAAUUUUAAGGUAAGAAUUAAAAAAUAUUGAUAGAAUUCACCAACGUAUUUUAAAUUUUUAUUCCAUUCUGUUCUUACAAAGCAUUUAAUACUACACAAAGAAUACAUUUUGAGACAGCGAACUUUGCUU